rnacentral:tRNA from 1 species
AUGAGGAUUUGGUGUCCGACCCGGAAGCUGUUUGGCGUCAACUGUACAAAUUAUUA